rnacentral:lncRNA from 1 species
CCACAAUCAAGUGAGUCAGAUGAGUUGUUGAGUUAACCAUAGUAACCGAUCAGAACCUUGUCCAUUCUCAGGUCCAUUCAGCUUUGUUCAAGAGGAACUUAAGUCUUGUCCAAGCCAGUUUCAAGACUGUUCUUUAGGUGAGUCUAGAAAGAUGUUGAGAUAGAUCAUGAAUGAGUCCUUGAUUAAGUUAGUAAAGUGUCUGAAUAUUUAAGAAUUGUGUUGUGUUUACUCAUGGUAAACACUUACACUUAAUGAAUAAUUUUAAAGUGAGGUUAAUCCUAAUCUUAGUACUUGUUCUCAAGUACUAAUCUUAACUAUGAAAUAAUCAUGGUUUUGAUUAUGGAUUAAUCAUGGUUUAAUUAAGAAUUAAUCUUGGUUUAAUUG